GAAAUUCUUUCUUUCUUAAGUAAAUCUAGUAGUGAGUUUGAAGUGUCAAAGAAAACCUUUUUUUAAAGAUUUAGGGAGACCUGAGAAUGCUUGUUACCAAAUAGUAAAGAGCCAGUGGCAAGAGGGAGAUAGAAGAAGCAUGAGAGAAAGGAUGAUUGCUGAAGCAGAUUCCUGGAAGAGGUCAGACAGCAGGUGAUCCAGGAGGCAGAUAAAAUAAUAUGGAUACUUCCACUUCUCUGACCAGAGAGAAGAAGAAAGAGACUGUUGUUGAGAUUUGAGGAACAGAAGUGGAAAACCAUAGGAGUUCCCACUAGAUUACUAUAUUUCUCAUGGAAGUACAAGGUUAGAUCUUCUGCUGUAAAUAUGAGAGGGAAGGGUGGAAGGAUACUUGGUCCAGUUAUUAGUUUAGGAAAAAAGGAAAGUCAGUUAGGGAGGUGGUGAAGUAGAUAGAGCACUGGACCUAGAAUGGGGAAGAGCUGAAUUCAAAUUCAGUCUCAAAUAUGUUUCAUUUUUCAAUAUACAUGUUUCCUUACAGAUAAUUGGAUAAGCUAUACAUUAAGUUUUAACAAAUCAUUUGAUUAACAUUCUGUAAUUACCCUAUAUACCUUGUUUCUAUACAUUCUAACAACAAACACAAAGCUUUACAAAAGAUGGAUGUUUUCUCAUCAUAGGCAGGAUAGCCAGAGGUCAGUUCUCAUUAACCUGUGAGGUGCUCAGACAUUCAGAGCUGACCUGAGCCAGAUAUUCCUAGAGAUGACAGACUUCUGUCCUUGGUCUUCUCCAUUGAAAAAAGAAGCAUUUGAUCUAUGGAGAAAAAAAAAGGAAAAUAAAAUCCUUGUAACAAAGAUGCAUUGUCAAGAAAUCCAAAAUCUGUGUCUCAUUUGGCAUCUUGCAGCUCUCUAUCAGGAGAACUUGAACUUGGAGAAGAGCAAUGGAGGGGGAAAAAUGUUUAAAGAAAUCAUGACAAAAUAUCUCAACAUCAAAGUCCUGACUGUGCUUAAAGAACAGUCAGAAUCGUCACUAAAGAGAACAUGAAAUUUGAAGGAGAGGAAGAGUAUGGAAAAAAAUCUUGAACCUUCUGAACACCAAAAAGAUAAUGAAGAAAAUGCCAGCUACCAACCUAUCUGUGUCUACUCCCUUUAUACAAAAGUAUGAGUCAUUUAUAUACACAAAUUGAGAACAUCUUCAAUAAUGGUACUAAUAGUGGCUAUAAGGGCAACUAGGUGACAUAGUGGUGAGGGAGGCCUGAGCAGGAAAUUGCCAGGCCUUGGAAGUUAAUAUGUCAAAGGUCCCAGCAGCAGGUACCAGAUAAGAACUUAGGGGCCAUAACUGCCGGCAACAUUCCAACAAUGGUAUGUACCAGAUGAGGACUAGGGGGGCCAUACGUGCUGGAGGGUAUAUAUACCCCAACAUCCCCAGACUACAAGGGGGAACUCACUCGUUUGGCGGAGUUCCCCUGGUGUACACCAGUUCAAUAAACGACCCUCUUGCUAAUUGCA
rnacentral:lncRNA from 1 species